rnacentral:misc_RNA from 1 species
GAUGAAGAACGCAGCGAAAUGCGAUAAGUAAUGUGAAUUGCAGAAUUCAGUGAAUCAUCGAAUCUUUGAACGCACAUUGCGCCCGCCAGAAUACUGGCGGGCAUGCCUGUUCGAGCGUCAUUUCAACCAUCAAGCCCCCGGCUUGUGUUGGGGACCUGCGGCUGCCGCAGGCCCUGAAAAGCAGUGGCGGGCUCGCUGUCACACCGAGCGUAGUAGCAUACAUCUCGCUCUGGGCGUGCUGCGGGUUCCGGCCGUUAAACCACCUUCAUAACCCAAGGUUGACCUCGGAUCAGGUAGGAAGACCCGCUGAACUUAAGCAUAUCAAUAAGCGGAGGA